AGAUCCUGCCUUUACCUGCCCCCUCCUAUACUGAUGUGGUGUAUGUGGUACUGCUGAGCUUGUAUGUGAUCUGAACCAUUGUAAAGGUUGCAGUUCAAGGGCCUGAGGUGGAAGCAGAAUUUGUGAGGAUUACUACUGCUCCACUUGUUCCAAGGCUUUUUGCACAACUUGACCAAUACACUGACCAGCUCAUAAAAGUCUUCAAGAAAAAAGGAGGCGCUGCAGUGAAGAAAAUUAGACAAACUUUGGCCCCAGCC